rnacentral:rRNA from 1 species
GCCCGCUCAAGAAACUCAAAGGCAUUGACGGGGGCCCGCACAAGCGGUGGAGUAUGUGGUUUAAUUCGAUGCAACGCGAAGAACCUUACCUGGUCUUGACAUCCCGGAGACCCUUAGGAAACUAGGGGGUGCUUCCAUCUGGAAGAAUCUGGAGACAGGUGCUGCAUGGCUGUCGUCAGCUCGUGUCGUGAGAUGUUGGGUUAAGUCCCGCAACGAGCGCAACCCUUGCCUUUAGUUGCCAGCAGUUCGGCUGGGCACUCUAAAGGGACUGCCGGUGUUAAACCGGAGGAAGGUGGGGAUGACGUCAAGUCCUCAUGGCCUUUAUGACCAGGGCUACACACGUACUACAAUGGCCGAUACAAAGGGCAGCGACACUGCGAGGUGAAGCCAAUCCCGUAAAAUCGGUCUCAGUCCGGAUUGGAGUCUGCAACUCGACUCCAUGAAGUUGGAAUCGCUAGUAAUCGUGGAUCAGCAUGCCACGGUGAAUACGUUCCCGGGCCUU